CGUAAAAAGAAACUAGUUACAUUUAAUUCUUUUUUUACAUUUAUUUAUUUUUUAUUAUUAUUAUUUUUUACAACUAAUUACAUUUAAUUAUUACAUUUACAUACAUUUAACUAUUAUUACAUACAUUUACAUACAUUUAAUUAUUAUUUUUUUCAUAAUUAUAUCUCGCUUGAAAUAUUUUUCGACAUAAUUAAUUGUUUCAAAAACACAUAUUCCAGCCUGCUAAAUGAUUUAUUUUGCGUAUUAUACGAAUUAUUCCAUGUAUAAAUAAAUUGUUCUCUAUACACACAAACACGCACACAGUCUGUUAAUUACACGAGUUAAUUGUAACAUUUUUCUCGAUAAGUUGACAGAGCAAGGAAAAUGAGCGACGAACCUACUUACAAACUAAUCUACUUCAAUGCCCGUGGUCGUGCCGAACAUAUACGGUACAUAUUUGCAUAUACUGGCAUCGAGUAUACCGACGAGAGGAUCCCCGAAGAACUCUGGCCUGAAUACAAGGCUUGUAAGCGUGAAGAAUCGAUUUUUACUUUCAUCGUUCAACUCUCAGAUAUCUACCAUUUACUCAAACUUUUCUGUAUAUAAAACUUUCGUUUCACGUGCAGGCUAAACUUACUUAAAGUAAAAUUUCAUACGGAAUAAAGUCGAACUUUUCAUUAAGUUUUGCUUCCGUAAUAUCGUGUUUAUCGAAUACCAACUUAAUUCACUUACGAUUCUCGAAUUUUUGUGUUGCAAUCUUUAUUGUUUUCAAUGAAUCGAAGCAUUUCGAAUAUUUUGAGAAAACCGUAAAUAGGUGACUUAAAAUAGGAACACAAAAAUACUUCUACGUUUCUCGUUAAAUUAAAAACUUUUUAGGACUUGUCGGAAAAAAAGGAUAAAAAAUUGAAAUCAGUUCGGAAAUGAACAAGAACAUAGCUAAAAAGUCGAAAGAACAAAGCAGACAUAAAAUUCGAUCUUCUGUUGCGACAUUUCUAUUGUAAAUGGUAUAAUAAAAGUUUUACGCAGCAUAGUCUUCGAUAUAAUCUUAUAUGUCGCUUGCAAAUAGAGAAACAAAAAAUCAACGUAAGUCUGUAAAUCAAUCCUGUCGGUGUAAAACACAAAAUUACGUUCGCAAGAGACAUUCGAUUUGUAUUCCUUGCAUUUCAAUUUUCAUUACAAGAACCGUGUACAUUUUCUAAUAUUUUUUCCGUGUCUGGUAUUAUGCGACGUGAAUUUUUUAUUCGCAGUUGUAAGUCCACUAUCAUUGCAUAAGGUCUUCCCGCAAAACGAUACUGAUCGUUCCUCGUACAUUCAGUACACCGCAUCAGACAGAUUCGUUCCUUUCCGUGAGAAUUACAAAUUUUAUACUCGAUCUUUUAUCCUUGAUUUUAAAAACUUUAGGUUCUUCUCAACAGUCAAAAACACGCGAUACCCUGUCCAUCGUAAUCGUAAGAAAAGAAAAAAAGGAGAAAGAAGACAUUUCUGUAUUUCUUUACUAGGCCAUGUUGAUUAAAACCGAAAUGAUUUCGAUUCAUCUAUUCACAAGAACGCAACGGCCUCGGAAGCUGUGUUGUGAUUUCCUAUCGAUCGUUUCCCUCUACACAGUGUUCAUAUGAGCCAUGUUUGUUCUUAGCAAUGCCUUAUAAAAUGCUGCCUGUGCUGCAGAUAGACGGGAAACCGGUAGCGCAGGGUAACGCUGUGGCGCGAUACUUGGCGAAGAAGUACGAUCUAAUGGGAAGGAACGAAUGGGAUGCGAUGAUAUGCGACGUGCUCGUCGAUACUCUUGGAGAUUUGAAGCAAGACGACAUGGGCGGACUUCGUGUUUGCAGCGGCACUUGAAAAUUUCGAGUAUAUGUUUGGGGCAUCAGCUUUGGAUAAAUAUCCAGCUCUU